rnacentral:rRNA from 2 species
AAACGACUCUCGGCAACGGAUAUCCCGGCUCUCGCAUCGAUGAAGAACGUAGCGAAAUGCGAUACUUGGUGUGAAUUGCAGAAUCCCGUGAACCAUCGAGUCUUUGAACGCAAGUUGCGCCCGAGGCCCUAGGCUAAGGGCACGUCUGCCUGGGUGUCACGC